CUGCCAUCUUCAGGACUUACUCCUUCCAGUUAAAAAUGUUGGUCCUGUAUUUAUGCUGUGUUGUCGGUCAGACAACACACAUGUUGCUAUGUAAUCUACGGUUUCCUAGGACUUGUGUGUUGAGGAAAACAUGGUGGCAGAAUGAGAAUUACAGGCCAAGGAAAAGCAAAAGUAUGAAAGCCUUGAGCAAGGAGAAGCAUGAAACUUCAGAAAUGAAAAGAGAAUGACAGCACACAAGGCUAAUUCUCUGCCUGGAAGACAGGCAACAUAUUCACAGUUGAGAAAGGGACUUUUAGGAUACAGACAACUUUGGAGGGCCAUUAUUCUGCCUGCCACAGAGAUAUCAUCCAUAAGUGACUCGUCUCUAAAAAUU
rnacentral:lncRNA from 1 species